rnacentral:rRNA from 1 species
CCUACGGGGGGCAGCAGUGGGGAAUAUUGGACAAUGGGGGCAACCCUGAUCCAGCCAUGCCGCGUGUGUGAAGAAGGCCCUCGGGUUGUAAAGCACUUUCAGUGAGGAAGAACGCCUGGUGGUUAAUACCCAUCAGGAAAGACAUCACUCACAGAAGAAGCACCGGCUAACUCCGUGCCAGCAGCCGCGGUAAUACGGAGGGUGCGAGCGUUAAUCGGAAUUACUGGGCGUAAAGCGCGCGUAGGUGGCUUGAUAAGCCGGUUGUGAAAGCCCCGGGCUCAACCUGGGAACGGCAUCCGGAACUGUCAAGCUAGAGUGCAGGAGAGGAAGGAAGAAUUCCCGGUGUAGCGGUGAAAUGCGUAGAGAUCGGGAGGAAUACCAGUGGCGAAGGCGGCCUUCUGGACUGACACUGACACUGAGGUGCGAAAGCGUGGGUAGCAAACAGGAUUAGAUACCCGGGUAGUC